UGACGGAGACUCCCGAAUCCGAGCCGAAGCCGAGCACGAGCGCAGCACGAGAAAAUAACGGCCUCAGGACUGAAACAGUCUGAAGCCUAAUGUCACUUCAUCGCCUUUUAGUAGGUAUUUUUUACUCAAGAAUGACCGGCCAUUCAUCUGCAUCUCCUGACGCGUACAGUGAAAACUGACACACUACCGGCAAUGACCAGAGGGAGGCGCCUAUAUGUCCGUCUUCGGUGUAAAGCCCACAUUCAUCACGGUCAAAUCACUUUCCAGCGUCCCUUGUAGGGAUGACUUGCACCAUUUGAUUCAAUGUACUCACUUGGAAAACAAGUUGUAUCCAAGCAACAAGAUUUUACAAACUAAAAGUUUGGAAAUGGAAGACAGACCUGGACCAAUAUACUUCUUUGAUCAGCAUUCAAGUAAAAAAGACAAACGAUCAAGAUUUUCGGCUGACCGCCCACCUUUUCCUUUACGAUACUACUGUAACCAGCCAUCCUUUGAAUCAGUCGUUAAUAGGUCGGUUGCCGACGGUGACUCUGAAGAAGAGGAUGACGACGACAGUGAAAUUAAGAGAGAAAAACUGAAAAGGGGAAUAAAAUGGGAAACGCUGCCUAGUACAAAAAAUGAUCAGGGAUCUGUAGGCGCUUGGGGAUCGGGGUUGGAGGACAAGGCACAUUUGAAUGAGCUUAGAAAAAGAGCUGCUUAUCUCCUCCAGGAGCUGGGAAAGUUGCUUCAUCAGUGCGAGAGAUGCGAGGUAGAUUUUUCUUUGCCCCGGGGGCUGAUGAAUAUAUUGAAUUACACCUGGAAUGAGCUGACAGGAGCAGACGCUUAUGAUAAACGACAGUGGAAAACCCUGGACUUCACAGGUAGGAAAGAGCACAACCUGAAAGCCGCGUUGGCUGCAGCGGAGCCUUCCGUUGAUGCACGUCAGACGGACGGCUUACAGGUCAAGACAAAAAACAGAAAGACGGCGGAAAAACUCAGGGAAGAAAUCGUCCUGGAAUCUCCGUGCUUGCAAAACAAGCAAACGAAUGCCAAGGCACACAGCUCAGAAUCAACUGAGGUACCAACCACUAUAAGCUUCUCAAUAUCUUCUGCGCUCUGCAGUGAUCAAGGUUGGCUUAUUUACCCAGAGCCGCCACCCCGUGAUGACCCUGAUUGGCAGGCGCAGUGUCAGUGGGUUGUGGAGAGGCUUCAGCCGGUGGUAAAAGCCAUAAAGGAGCAAACUGCAGAGCUUAAGGAGCGAGGACUCACCAAGUCACUGGUGUUGCGUCACUAUGGGGAUGACAGGAAAAGAGCCGUGGUCGGUUGCAGAAGGGGAGGUGUUUCCUUCUCUGGUCCUCCUCCACUCCCCCAGAUAGUCCAAGAAGAACCAUCACUGCCAAAGCUGCACUACAGAACCGAUGAUGGAACCUCCUUCAUCUACUACCCUUCAGGGCGUGUAGCAGUGUGCCAGACCCCUUCCGGACUGCUGUGUGGCGGCUUCUACACCAAUGUGUUUGGGGACACUCCUGAGCAGGACGUUCUGGCCACCUUUACAGCAUUGGGCUGCGGCAGUGUCACACACCCACUCAGUGGCACAGUGAUGGCAACGUGGAAUCAGCGCGGGGGGUUUAUGUGUGAUCCAAAUGGGGCUGUGAAGAAGGAAUGGAUCUGGGGCCUCAGAACCUCAUCGAAUGACCCAAUCCGUAUACAGGUGACUGAGCUGAUCUCACUGCGAGUACGGAGCCCAGCCUCCGCUACUCUCUGGUUCAGGGGUCCCCAGGAGAGUGUGCAGCUGUCAAUCACUCCUCCUUCUGGUGUGAAAAGCCUGGUAGCAGUAAGGCCAGCAGAGGGAGUGACAACAGAGGUGACAAACUGUCAGAUGAACCGUGUGGCUCAGCGAGGAGGACAGAUGGAACAGGAACUGAGACGGCUUCGACGAAGAGCUGGGAGCAUCGUGGAUUGCUGGUUGGAACACUACCGUGUCACCGUUGGUCUGAAGGUAUCAGAAUCCCCCUGCAGGACCCUUCUGAAACAGCAGCUCCCAUCAGCAGCCCUGACCUCCAUUUCCGCUGCUGGUACAGAAGUCCCAUACUCAGAGCAGCCAUUAGGGGGCAGUGCUGAGGGGCACAUGACAACUCACCAUCAGUCUGCACCUGCAAACAGCAUCCGGUGGGACUUGCCCAUCUGCACUCCACUGGCACGCAGGUUGAAAACCCCAUGGGAUGAGAAAAGAGGGGAAGCUCGUUAUGUCAGAGAGGCUGGGCCGCUCCGGGUGUACAGCAACGUCAUGCUGGAUCUGCUACUGACCCCAAGAAGCCCAGAAAUGCCCCGGCCCAGCCCUGUACUCCCAGACCUCUCUGUGCCCUGCCCCAGCCUGCUACGGGCCACCCUGCUUGGUCACGAGGGGUGCCGGCUGUGCCCCUGCAGUGCCCACCGUAUGCCCCUGCUGACGGACCUGGAGUAUGACGCGUUCGUCUCCAGCCAGGCGCUGCGCCGUCAGCAGAUCCUGAUCGUGUAUGUGGCCGCGGCGCAAAACCCGUGGUCUGCAUCUGCUGAGGCUGCACUGGAGGAGAUGUACAGGAGGAGGAACAAGAACAGGAGCAUGCCAUGUGCUCAGUGCUACCUGGAUCCAUUCCGCAUGGUGAAGUACACGACCCAUGCCACAGACUCGCCUUCAGUCUCACAGCCUUCUCUGCUUCAGCAGAGACACAAUGUAGCUCCGGGGAUGAUCAUGAUGUACAUCGGUGGGAAGCUGCUGUUUGCAGAUUACAUAACUGACGAUGGCAGAUGUUCGUCCGAGGACCUCCAGAAGCAGAUGGCCAGAACGCUGGAGGCUUACCGUCGUGGUCAUUGCCUGCCUCCUGACUACAGGUUCAGGCCACCUGUUGCAGAAGAAUCAGAGUCACUGGCACUACAGAGGAGCUGGCUGCAGACCGAGAGUGCCCUCGGCUAUACUGUUCUCCCUACCCAAUGAGAGGAACCUAUGCGUGGAUUCAGAUGAGAAGUACAGAGGAACAGCAACUAACUUCACUGGCUGAAGUGUCAUAGAGACGGACAAGGCAAACAGGAGGCAGAGAGAAGCACAGAGACCCAGACAGGGAGUCAGCGGACCCUGGGUUGGCUCCUACAGGUUCGGCGCCACCCAGACGAUGGAGGCAGGAAGGGAAAGCUCCCGAAACAAAAUGAUGAUGAUACCGGGAUGGCUGCAUUUAGAGAGGAUAGUAGCACUGGUGCUGGCUGUGAAGCGGUAAAGAGCUGCCCCGCGACACCAAUUGUCCAAAGUGUCAAAUAAAACUCAGUUAAAAAGCAGAGGGAGUCAGAAAGAGAUGAAUUAGAGGAUGGCAGCAUGUGGGAGUCAGAUUCUGUGGAGGAUCAGUGAUUCACAAUAAUAUUGAGAAUACCUGCGCAGGCCUUGUCCUCUCCCACCUCCGACUGUCCACAGCAGAACUCUGUCUCUGCCCUCGUAGAGGGGAAGGGUCCACAUACCCGCAGGGUUCCAUCAAUGUUGCAGGUGCUAUAGGCAUCAGGGCAGCUGUGAGACAGAUGGGAGAGAUCACUGGUAGCCAAGUCUAUGCAAGGGAACCAGAGUAGCUGUUUCCAGCAGUAUGAAGUCAAAGGAUGUCCUUGUGCCCCCGUACCUCGAUCGCUGAAGAGCAGCUGUUUCCACUUCUGCCGCUCGACGUCAGAGGCGCGCAGGCCCAGCACGGACUUCAGCUCCAGCAGGACACGCCGCGACGACUCCUGCUCUCGCCUUUGCUGAUCUCGCUCCUCCGAGGUCAGCCGGUCUGAGGCGGAGCACCGCCACUCCCCGUCUGAGUCCGAGUCCGAGGCAUACGCCUCCAGCUCCUGUCCGGUAGGAGUGCAGAGGGGUGACAGUCACUCAGCGGCAGGGCCAGUCAAAGCCAGGACCGCACCCACAGCCUGUAUCCCAUGUGUGCCAACACCCACAACACCUGCCCUGAUUACUACCCCAGGUCUGACAGGUCACAGAGGAGCCUUGAAGGAGCCUGAAAGUUAAUUUUACCAAAAUGUCAGCCAUUCAUCGGUCAUAACUGUAGUAUAGCCAUACCUACUGGGACACCGUUGGCUUUUCUGAGACACUGUAAUUGACCUUCACCAAUCGGGGUGGAACUAAAACAAGACCUCAACUGUCCAGGAGGACAGUUUUCUGCUGGGACACAGCACUAGUGACUCGGUGCCGUUUUGUUGUGUGCUGUAAAUCUGUGAUUCUUAAGUGUGGUAUAAACAUGAGGUUUUUCUGUUGCAUUGGCUGUUCAGAGGCGAUUCAGGUUGUCACCUCAUGUGGAGUGCAACAGCAUAGUAAGUUACACGGUCAGUUACUGAACCCCCCCUCCCCCAGGUCUCUAGAGGAAGCAAAACAUGUAAUUGUGUCAUUAAAUGGUCAUAAGAUCAGGAGCCACAGGA